GGGGGCGACUUGGUUUCGACGUGGGUUGCGAAGCAUAAGGUGCAUGUCGAGGACGGUAACUCAACCUCGUAAAAAUAGGUUACCAAACAAAUAGUUGCCAAACGUAAAUUUAGCAACGACGCUGUUUAUGCUGCAGGCGAAGAGCUUGCAGUUGCUGCCUAACUAAAGCAGCAACAGCCUGUUCACCGAUCGUGCUUGUACGAUCGGGUAUUCACGCAAGUGCAUACGGAGCAGUCAUACCAUACAAGCUCGUUGGACAGUUUGCUCGAAACUGAAUGACUAAAGCAGUAGAGCUCGCUAACCUUUUCUCCUGCCGUUCGGAGAAAGGAUAGUUAAACGAGAAGAGCGGCUAAACAUGUAGACCCGUAUGUAGAGGACUUGCGGACGCGGGUUCAAUUCCCGCCGCCUCCACCA
rnacentral:tmRNA from 1 species